AGCAUGUGCGCGAGUCAUUGGGAAUAUGACUAAACCUAAAGGCGUAAUGAAAGUAAAGGCUCUCCUCGCGAGAGCCGAGGGAAGACGAGCGGCUAAGGCGGCUAAUCGCCGCGCGCCGCUUCGCAUUCCCGGGGCGUCUCGUUCUCAACGCGAGAAGAGGCGCACCAAGAGCGUACACGCUGGGACCCGAAAGAUGGUGAACUAUGCCUGGUCAGGACGAAGUCAGGGGAAACCCUGAUGGAGGUCCGUAGCGAUUCUGACGUGCAAAUCGAUCGUCGGAACUGGGUAUAGGGGCGAAAGACUAAUCGAACCGUCUAGUAGCUGGUUCCCUCCGAAGUUUCCCUCAGGAUAGCUGGCGCUCGUCGCGUACGAGUCUCAUCCGGUAAAGCGAAUGAUUAGAGGCAUUGGGGUCGAAACGAUCUCAACCUAUUCUCAAACUUUAAAUGGGUGAGAUCUCCGGCUUGCUCGAACGACCGAAAUACACACACACAAACGCGCGCGCUCGCCCGCUCGCUCGCCCGCUCGCGCACGCGCCCGGGAUACGUUAUUUUCUUCACGGGAAAUUUCUUUCCUCGAGAGCGCGUGUGCGGCGGCGGCGGCGGCGGCGCCGCGUUGAAGCCGCGAGAGACACGAGGAUCAGAGUGCCAAGUGGGCCAUUUUUGGUAAGCAGAACUGGCGCUGUGGGAUGAACCAAACGUCGAGUUAAAGCGCCUAAAUCGACGCUUAUGGGAUACCAUGAAAGGCGUUGGUAACUUAAGACAGCAGGACGGUGGCCAUGGAAGUCGGAAUCCGCCAAGGAGUGUGUAACAACUCACCUGCCGAAGUUACUAGCCCUGAAAAUGGAUGGCGCUGAAGCGUCGUGCUUAUACUCGACCGUCAGAGGCAUGUGCGGUGCGCGCGCGCGCGCGCGGCCACGACGCCCUGACGAGUAGGAGGGUCGCGACGGUGAGCGCAGAAGGGCUGGCCGCGAGGCCGUCUGGAGCC
rnacentral:rRNA from 1 species